UACGGCGAGUGAGCGGCAAAAGCUCAAAUUUGAAAUCUAGCACCUUCGGUGUUCGAGUUGUAAUUUGAAGAUGGUAACCUUGGGUUUGGCUCUUGUCUAUGUUCCUUGGAACAGGACGUCAUAGAGGGUGAGAAUCCCGUCUGAUGAGAUGCCCAUUCCUAUGUAAGGUGCUAUCGAAGAGUCGAGUUGUUUGGGAAUGCAGCUCUAAAGUGGGUGGUAAAUUCCAUCUAAAGCUAAAUAUUGGCGAGAGACCGAUAGCGAACAAGUACAGUGAUGGAAAGAUGAAAAGAACUUUGAAAAGAGAGUGAAAAAGUACGUGAAAUUGUUGAAAGGGAAGGGCAUUAGAUCAGACUUGGUGUUUUACGAUUAUCUUCUCUUCUUGAGUUGUGCACUCGUAUUUCACUGGGCCAGCAUCGAUUCGGAUGGCAAGAUAAUGGCAGUUGAAUGUGGCUUCACUUCGGUGGAGUGUUAUAGCUUCUGCUGAUAUUGCCUGUCUGGAUCGAGGGCUGCGUCUUUUGACUAGGAUGCUGGCGUAAUGAUCUAAUGCCGCCCGUCUU
rnacentral:rRNA from 1 species